ACGUAGGGGGCAAGCGUCAUCCGGAUUUAUUGGGCGUAAAGCGAGCGCAGGCGGUUUCUUAAGUCUGAUGUGAAAGCCCCCGGCUCAACCGGGGAGGGUCAUUGGAAACUGGAUAUCUAGAGUGCAGGAGAGGAAAGUGGAAUUCCUAGUGUAGCGGUGAAAUGCGUAGAGAUCUGGGGGAACACCAGUGGCGAAGGCGGCUCUCUGGUCUGUAACUGACGCUGAGGCUCGAAAGCGUGGGGAGCAAACA
rnacentral:rRNA from 1 species